AGCACCAGAGCCCAGCUGGGAGGUGACUGUGCAUAUCUGGAGGAUUCUGAGGACUUCAGAGGGCUGCCUGUGCAUAAAAAAGAAGACAGUCUUCGCUGUUCUGGGGAGACCUCAGGGAUGUUCCCAGGCCACAUUUCCAGACACAAGAUCACAGAGCCCCAGCCAGGAGCGGCCACCAGCUUUUGCCAGGGGCUUCAAAACCCCAUGUCUGCAUCCCGGCUGCGCCCCCGCGAGAGCCGCAUGCUGGAGGCACCAUCUGCACUGAGCUGGGACCGAGCCGGCCUGGCUCCCCUCCCUUUCAGCAGAGCAGCCCCACAAAGGAGAGGGCCUGCCAGCCCCAGGCAGUGCAGAGCUGGGAGCUGCAGACUCACUGGAGGCACUGGGAAGCUCCAGAAAGGGAUGUGGAAGCCAGGUGUUGAAGCAUUUUUCAAGUAAGUGACAGGGGCGUGGGUCAGCUUGACAGCCACAGGACCGCAGGAAGUUGGGUGCAGGUGUUGAAGCGCUUUUCAAGCAGGUUAUAAGGCAUGAACGAGCUUGGCAGCCACAGGACUACAGGACCUCGGGUGCAGGCAUUGACCAGCUUGGUGGCUGCAGGACCUCGGGUGCAGGCAUGGACCACCUUGGUGGUUACAGGACCUCAGCUGCAGGCGUGGACCAGCUUGGUGGCUGCAGGACCUCGGGUGCAGGCGUGGACCACCUUGGCGGCUGUAGGACCUCGGGUGCAGGUGUGGACCACCUUGGUGGCUACAGGACCUCGGGUGCAGGUGUGGACCACCUUGGUGGCUGCAGGACCUCGGGUGCAGGUGUGGACCAGCUUGGCGGCUGCAGGACCUCGGGUGCAGGUGUGGACCAGCAUGGCGGCUGUAGGACCUCGGGUGCAGGUGUGGACCACCUUGGCGGCUGUAGGACCUCGGGUGCAGGUGUGGACCAGCAUGGCGGCUGCAGGACCUCGGGUGCAGGUGUGGACCAGCAUGGCGGCUGCAGGACCUCGGGUGCAGGCGUGGACCAGCUUGUUGGCUGCAGGACCUCGGGUGCAGGUGUGGACCAGCUUGGCGGCUGUAGGACCUCGGGUGCAGGUGUGGACCAGCAUGGCGGCUGCAGGACCUCGGGUGCAGGCGUGGACCACCUUGGCGGCUGCAGGACCUCGGGUGCAGGUGUGGACCAUCUUGGUGGCUGUAGGACCUCGGGUGCAGGUGUGGACCAGCUUGGCGGCUGUAGGACCUCGGGUGCAGGUGUGGACCACAUGGCGGCUGCAGGACCUCGGGUGCAGGCGUGGACCACCUUGGCGGCUACAGGACCUCGGGUGCAGGUGUGGACCACCUUGGCGGCUGCAGGACCUCGGGUGCAGGUGUGGACCACCUUGGCGGCUGUAGGACCUCGGGUGCAGGCGUGGACCAGCUUGGCGGCUGCAGGACCUCGGGUGCAGCCUCCUGCUGCAAGGACACAGAGGCCCAGGACCUCCUCCCAGCACCUGAGCACCCCCCUGCUUUUGCCCAUGGACACAGAAGUCUCCAGCUCCCAGGUCCCCUUUGUCAUCGUCAGGGCAACAGUUUCCUGGACACGUGGAGAGAUGGAUGUGUGGAUGGAGAGGUGA
ensembl:lncRNA